UACGUAGGGUCCGAGCGUUGUCCGGAAUUACUGGGCGUAAAGAGCUUGUAGGUGGUUUGUCGCGUUGUUCGUGAAAUCUCACGGCUUAACUGUGAGCGUGCGGGCGAUACGGGCAGACUAGAGUACUGCAGGGGAGACUGGAAUUCCUGGUGUAGCGGUGGAAUGCGCAGAUAUCAGGAGGAACACCGGUGGCGAAGGCGGGUCUCUGGGCAGUAACUGACGCUGAGAAGCGAAAGCGUGGGGAGCGAACAGG
rnacentral:rRNA from 1 species